rnacentral:sRNA from 1 species
CGACGCGGAUUACGGUGGCG